rnacentral:rRNA from 1 species
CAAGAGCGUAUAUUAAAGUUGCUGCGGUUAAAAAGCUCGUAGUUGGAUUUCAGUCUAGGAAGGUUAACUCGCCGAAAGGUUGUACGUUGAUUUUCCUCAGACUUCGUCAGAAGCUCGUGCUGCACUUAACUGUGUGGUACGAUGUUCUGGCCUUUUACCUUGAGGAAAGUAGAGUGUUUCAGGCAGGCUACCCAGCUUGAAUACAUUAGCAUGGAAUAAUGAAAUGGAUCUCGGUUCGAUUUCGUUGGUUCUAGAGCUGAGGUGAUGAUCAAUAGGAACAGGCGAAGGUAUUCGUACUUGAGAGUGAGGAGUGAAAUCCGAUGAUCUCUUAAAGACGAUCCGAGGCGAAAGCAUUUGUCAAGGAUGUUUUCAUUGA